UCUCAGCUUCCUCUGAGUGAGUCCAGCUACAGGAGAGAAAAGUGGAAAACUCCAACACUGCUGCUUCAAGCUGCUGACGCUCCACACACUGAAUCUUCACUCACAGACUCAAUGGCUUCCAGAUCAGAGGAGGAUCUCUGCUGUCCGGUCUGUCAGGAGGUCUUCAGAGAUCCUGUUCUUCUGUCAUGUAGCCACAGCUUCUGUAAAGACUGUCUGAAGAGAUGGUGGAGA